UUUCUACUCCCUCCGUCCCAAAAUUCUUGUCUUAAAUUUGUCUAAAUACGGAUGUAUCUAGUUACAUUUUAGUGUUAGAUACAUCUGUAUCUAAACAAAUGUAAGACAAGAAUUUUGGGACGGAGGGAAUACUAC
rnacentral:pre_miRNA from 1 species